rfam:Salmo salar isolate Sally breed double haploid chromosome ssa10, whole genome shotgun sequence.
UCCCGUGUGGCUCAGAUGGUAGAGCAUGGUGUUUGCAUCACCAGGGUUGUGGGUUCAAUUCCCACAGGGGAC